rnacentral:tRNA from 1 species
UGGGAUGUAGCCAAGUGGUAAGGCACGGGACUUUGACUCCCGCAUGCGCAGGUUCGAGCCCUGCCAUCCCAG